rnacentral:rRNA from 1 species
AUGAAGAAGAAUCUUGGCAAGAGAACUGCUGAAGCUGGUGGAAAUGAUGAUCCUCAGCGCAAGCGACUACAUGUCACUGAAGGUCCCAACUCUGAUGAUGAUGACUUUGUCCUUGCUGAUUUUAUGAAGGGUGUUCGUCCUUGUAGACGCAAAUACUGUGGUUCAUCUAAGAGUCUAUACAAGCGUUACCGUGAUGAAGUCGACGAAGAUGUUGGUGGUGACUCUGGUGAGGAGGUGGAUGCUGCUCCAAAGAGCAAGAAGUCUAGUAAGAGCAAUGCAACUGAAGAUGAUGCUGAGGGAGAUGAUUCUCGAUUUAACAAGACUGUGCGGUUGUCUCUCCCCACUGUUUGCAAGGCUGUUUCUUUGUUGAAAGAGGCGCAUUGUAGCCGCGUUAGGGAUGCUGGAUUUAGUGUUGUCUUUGAUCUGACAGUGAAGAAAAAUGUGUCGCGCAUUCUUAUGUGCUAUCUGAUGGGACUCAUUGACCCUACCACCAUGGAUGAGCUUGGCUUUGAUCAUUCAAAAAGUAUAGGUGUCAAAGACUUGCUUGAGAAGUUGAAGGUGUUGGUGGAGGAAGAUGAUUAUGUGACUGUUGACCUUUCUGUGAAGGUGUUCUUCCUGAUACUUAACCAGAAUUUGCUGUGUCCGGGGCCUGUAGUUUGUUUGGGUAGAGUUGCUGCGAUGGUAGAGAACAUGGAUUAUGCUGCUAUGGCUCAGAUGGACUUUUGCCACCUUGUUGUUGAUGAGUUGCAGGCAGCUGUGGUUAGGUGGAAAGCAGAAGGCAACAAGCAGAAUUAUGCAGAGGUUUGUGCCAUUAUCCCCCUGAUUAUGUAUCUUGACUACUUGAAGCUUCGCAAAUUUUCAGUCAUGCACAUGUUCACGCCACGCGCGUCAUACCUGAUAACCAAGGACCUAAUGAAGUUGUACAAUGAGGAUCUGCUUGUGAAGGGAAAGAUUUACAUGGAAAUUUACAAAUUUGGGAAACUACCGUGGAAGGCGUCAGGUGACAUUGUGUACAACCGUCCUGUUGCAAUUGUACAUGGCAACUCUGAUGCGGGGCCUAGCACUCAUGCUAGGUUUUAUGAGCCUAUCUGUAGCAAGCUUCCUGCCUGUGAUUUUGAGACUGGUGUUGUUGCUGGUGAUGUGCACAAAGAGACCUACGAUGGCUCUGGGAAGGAUGAGGUCUUGGCUGAUGCAUCGUCCCCUGUGGAUGUUGUAGCUGAUAAGGUUGGAGAAGAAAACGUGGAAGUUCACGCUGAUGUGAAUCAGGGCAGUUGUGACGUUGAUGGCCGUGGCAGUGUCGAUGCUUCUGCAUCUGUUGCCGUUGACUACGCAGAUCCUUCUGUAGCUCAAGGAUCCCAUGAUGCUGUUCCCAUCAGUCGGCAUGAAGAUUCUGAUGUUGGUACUGAAAAGCCACUGGAGAAUGUUGCCCCUGCUGCUAGUGUUGGUGCUUCCCUUGUCUGUCUGGUGUCCAAUGAUGUUCCAGAAGUAUCGAGAGUGGAGCCGCAUGUAGCUGAAGUAUCUAAGGACAUUGCUGUUGACCAGACUGCUAUAAAUCUAGAGAAUGAUGAUGUUGCUGUAGAAUGGCAGUCCAAUGAUGAACUUCCUAUUGUGACACCGUCGAGCAUUGAUCCAUCUCUUCUAAAAAGAUACAAUGAGUUGUACGCUGCUGUUACGAGGGCUCAGAAGGACAAGAAGAAGAAGGACAUGAUUGCUUUUAAAACUGAGAUGGGUGAUAUUACCAUUGGCGAAGUUGGUCAAUCCUUUUGGGAUAAAGGGAUGCUCACUACAAGGCUUGUAGAUCUUGGGGUUUCUUUGCUGCUAGAUAAGUUUAAGGCAUCUCCGACAAUGGUUGUCCCGUACCAUAUUUGUACAAAUAUUUGGAAUGGUGGUACUGUAGGCAGGAGUGUUAAAAUGAUGUUCUCCUCAAAAGCCGUGGAGCGUGUUGAUAAGAAGGAUACGGUCCUUUUUGAAACUUUUAAUCCGCCAGAUACGAGGGAUGGUGUUGGUCAUUAUUGUGUAGUUGCAUUGAAUGUGAAAGAAAGGCGGUUUGAAUUUGUUGACUCGCUCAACAAACCUGGUUUUGAUGGGGGGCUUCAUGAAGGCUGUAUGUCACUGUUUGAGUCCCAGGGUUCCGAGGUGGUUAUGGAGAAUUGUGUCAUUGAAAUCUCUCUAGAUAAUUCUGGUUCUUUAGCUGGAUAUGGUUUGAACACGAAUGUGGCGUAUGGACCUGAUGGUGGAAGUGUCUGUCGACCUAGAUCCACACACGAAGUAUAUGAUGUUGAUGAUGAUGAUUUUGUUACGCCGAAGUACACUGGUCAUCCUGAUGUCAUGACAAGGUGGUGCAGGACUGACUACCACGCAGAUUCCACUGAAGUGCCUGCUGUUGAAGAUUGGAAGGCGGAGUACAUGUUCCAGCUGCUGUUCAAUCCUUCGAACAUGUUGUGUUAUGAAGACAUGCUGCUCGAGCUACGUGAUCAGAUUGCGGACCUCGGGCUCACUUCCAGGACGCAAUCAUAG